UGGGAGCCGCGGAGCAUGUGAUGCUGCCUUCCAUAUAGGGGCAGGAGCAAAGCAAGACCAACUGAUGGACGCCCUAGGGCCAGACUUGCAGACAAUAUAUAACCUACUGCACGAUCUGCAACGCUUCCCACUUUCACAGCGCGAACAUCAGGCGGAGCGCAGCCGUGCUGGGAGAGCAGCCCUGGUGCAGGGAGAGGCAGCACAGAUGAUUUCCAGUGGGGACACGCUCCUCCAAGCCUGCAGACCUGCCCUGUGCAUCAGCAAGGCUCUGGGAUGCAGGGAAGGAGAAAAGCACGGAAGGAGAGGAGAGAAGCCACCCAGCAGCCCACCUGCAUGGGUGGGACAGGGGCUGGGGGGCCUCCAGCUCCUCUCUGCCCAUAGCACCACCUGGACACGAAGCCCUCCCCGGCACCGAGCAGCAGCGCCGGGGAGCGCAGCAGAGGUGCACAGCUGUGUGGCUUUCAGAGCUGCUUGAUCGAUAGCUGCUUCCUCACACCCCCCCCUCUCCCCCAAUCCCCACAUGCAUUUUUCAUGCUAACCCCUCCUGGGCAAAGGCUGUCUACGCAGGAAAGAAAAAUACAACACAAAACAAAACAG
ensembl:lncRNA